AGUGAACGCUGGCGGUAGGCCUAACACAUGCAAGUCGAACGGCAGCACAGUAAGAGCUUGCUCUUACGGGUGGCGAGUGGCGGACGGGUGAGGAAUACAUCGGAAUCUACUUUUUCGUGGGGGAUAACGUAGGGAAACUUACGCUAAUACCGCAUACGACCUACGGGUGAAAGCAGGGGAUCUUCGGACCUUGCGCGAUUGAAUGAGCCGAUGUCGGAUUAGCUAGUUGGCGGGGUAAAGGCCCACCAAGGCGACGAUCCGUAGCUGGUCUGAGAGGAUGAUCAGCCACACUGGAACUGAGACACGGUCCAGACGCCUACGGGAGGCAGCAGUGGGGAAUAUUGGACAAUGGGCGCAAGCCUGAUCCAGCCAGACCGCGUGGGUGAAGAAGGCCUUCGGGUUGUAAAGACCUUUUGUUGGGAAAGAAAAGCAGCAGGUUAAUACCCCGCUGUUCUGACGGUACCCAAAGAAUAAGCACCGGCUAACUUCGUG
rnacentral:rRNA from 1 species